UACGUAGGGUGCGAGCGUUAAUCGGAAUUACUGGGCGUAAAGCGUGCGCAGGCGGCGCCCCAAGUCGAGUGUGAAAUCCCCGAGCUUAACUUGGGAAUUGCGCUCGAAACUACGGUGCUGGAGUGUGGCAGAGGGAGGUGGAAUUCCACGUGUAGCGGUGAAAUGCGUAGAGAUGUGGAGGAACACCGAUGGCGAAGGCAGCCUCCUGGGCCAACACUGACGCUCAUGCACGAAAGCGUGGGGAGCAAACAGG
rnacentral:rRNA from 1 species